rnacentral:tRNA from 1 species
GGGGUCGUAGUCCAGCUUGGUCAAGACACGAGCUUCGGGAGUUCGUAACCUGGGUUCAAAUCCCAGCGACCCCA